rnacentral:rRNA from 1 species
AAUGAACGUUGGCGGCGUGGAUUAGGCAUGCAAGUCGAGCGAGAAGUUUCUCUUCGGAGAAACGGACAGCGGCAAACGGGGUAGUAAGGCGUAGGUGAUGUACCCCAAGGACCGGGAUAGCUGUGGGAAACUGCAGGUAAUACCGGAUGAUCUCUCAGGGUGUGGUGAUUCUGGGAGCAAAUGGUGAGAUUCCGCCUUGGGAGCGGCUUACGUGGUACUAGCUAGUUGGUGAGGUAACGGCUCACCAAGGCUCAGAUGCCUAGGGGGUGUGAGAGCAUGGCCCCCACCACUGGGACUGAGACACUGCCCAGACACCUACGGGUGGCUGCAGUCGAGAAUCUUCGGCAAUGGGCGCAAGCCUGACCGAGCGACGCCGCGUGCGGUAUGAAGGCCCCUGGGUUGAAAACCGCUGUCAGAGGGGAUGAAAUGCCGGUGGGCUAUCCCAUCGGUCUGACAGAGCCUCAGAGAAGCACGGCUAAGU